rnacentral:rRNA from 1 species
AAACUAACAAGGAUUCCCCUAGUAACUGCGAGUGAAGCGGGAAAAGCUCAAAUUUAAAAUCUGACAGUUUCACUGUCCGAGUUGUAAUCUGGAGAAGCAUUUUCCGUGUCGGACCGUGUACAAGUCUCUGGGAAUAGAGCGUCAUAGAGGGUGAGAAUCCCGUCCAUGACACGGACUACCGAUGCUUUGUGAUAUGCUCUCGAAGAGUCGAGUUGUUUGGGAAUGCAGCUCAAAAUGGGUGGUAAAUUCCAUCUAAAGCUAAAUAUUGGCGAGAGACCGAUAGCGAACAAGUACCGUGAGGGAAAGAUGAAAAGCACUUUGGAAAGAGAGUUAAACAGUACGUGAAAUUGUUGAAAGGGAAACGCUUGAAGUCAGUCGCGUUGAUUGAGACUCAGCCUUGCUUUGCAUGGUGUACUUCUCAGUUAACGGGUCAACAUCAAUUUCAGUUGGUGGAUAAAGGCAUUGGGAAUGUGGCACCUUCGGGUGUGUUAUAGACCUUUGUUGCAUACACUGACCGGGAUUGAGGAACGCAGCACGCCACUAAGGCCAGGGGUUCGCCCCAUGUAACGUGCUUAGGAUGUUGGCAUAAUGGCUUUAAGCGAC